GCGCCGGUAGCUCAUUCGUAAGAGCAGUGGGAUAGUACCUCACAGUCCCGGGAUCAAGUCCCGGCCGUCCA